AACGAACGCUGGCGGCAUGCCUAACACAUGCAAGUCGAACGAUCCUUCGGGAUAGUGGCGGACGGGUGAGUAACACGUGGGAACGUGCCCUUUGGUACGGAACAACUCAGGGAAACUUGAGCUAAUACCGUAUGAGCCCUUCGGGGGAAAGAUUUAUCGCCAUUGGAGCGGCCCGCGUCUGAUUAGCUAGUUGGUGAGGUAAAGGCUCACCAAGGCUACGAUCAGUAGCUGGUCUGAGAGGAUGAUCAGCCACAUUGGGACUGAGACACGGCCCAAACUCCUACGGGAGGCAGCAGUGGGGAAUCUUGCGCAAUGGGCGAAAGCCUGACGCAGCCAUGCCGCGUGAAUGAUGAAGGUCUUAGGAUUGUAAAAUUCUUUCACCGGGGACGAUAAUGACGGUACCCGGAGAAGAAGCCCCGGCUAACUUCGUGCCAGCCGCCGCCGUAUAC
rnacentral:rRNA from 1 species